ACCUUCUCCUUCACCUAGACCUGCAGCUGAAAGUAGUUCUCAUUUGCCUCGGUCUUCAUUUUCUUUCCAGUUUCCACACCUCCUGGUUCACUGAGGCCUUUGAAAAUAGGCACCUGAGAGUCUGAAGUUGUUUACUUCUCCUCCCUCCCAUCUCAUCUCCCACUUCCUGCACCUGUGCAGGUGACUGCAAUGACCCCAGUGGCUACAUUUAGAAGAACACUGUGGAGAAGACUGAGGAAAUUUGGAAAUACAGCAACAGAAGUUAAAGGAUAUUCAAUGACUGUGACGAACUGGGAUAAAUUUAGUGAAGAAAGGACAAGGUAGGAAUAGAAUUCAAAUGGAAAAAAUUGAUCUUUACCUAAUG
rnacentral:lncRNA from 1 species